rnacentral:lncRNA from 1 species
AGAGAAAUAGUUUGAUCGAUGCUAAUAGGUAACAGAUAAAUGACAAUCUUACAAGGUGGAUGACUCGUCAUAGACACAUCCAGAUUUUCAAAUCAAGGUUUAACAGUCUCCAAAAGGUGGAUGAUCUCCAAAAGAGAGGCAGAGUUCCUCGGAUCAUCAGAACACAGGCAUACCAAGUCUUAGAGAGAAACUAAAUACGAUACAUGGAUCAUAUGUAUAGACGAGCUGAGGUCAACAAUACUGAUGCACAGUGAGACUACAUCAGUGGUUCACUGAGCUGCUCCUAUUGGCAUUUAAUCAACCAACUGGUCUACCAUCAAGAUAGACCUCACCACCAUGAAGUACAAGCCCGCUCAAGAGGAGGUUCCUGACGCAGAGCCGCGACCUCAAGCACCUCACCACCAAGCCAAAACCCAGCCAUCAGCACAAUCAUGUUUGACGUUGGGCUGCCUGUAACAAUGCGAAGAACGUUAUGAUUCUCCAACGCAAGAGUUUCCAAGAAUAGGAAAAUAAAUUUUAUACCGUCUCAGAUUCAGAUGACCUCCCUAAAUCAGAAGAACAGAUUAAUUAGAUGUACCUAACACACACAUGUACAUGAAGAUAGGAUUGAUAGAUUUUAUGUCAGUACCUAAUCUCUAACCAUCUUCGAGACCUCUCUUGGAACACUGUCCCCCAUGGUGCGCAACCACCACCAUUCAGCAAUUCAUCAAAUGCCAGAUGCCUUUUAAAUGCCACUCUUUCGCAAUCC